rnacentral:rRNA from 1 species
UACGGGGGGGGCAAGCGUUGUUCGGAAUUACUGGGCGUAAAGGGCGUGUAGGCGGUUGGAUAAGUCAGCUGUGAAAACCACGGGCUUAACUCGUGGCCUGCAGUUGAGACUGUCUGGCUUGAGUGUGGGAGAGGAGAGUGGAAUUCCUGGUGUAGCGGUGAAAUGCGUAGAUAUCAGGAAGAACACCGGUGGCGAAGGCGGCUCUCUGGACCACAACUGACGCUGAGGCGCGAAAGCGUGGGGAGCAAACAGG